AGCUUGGCACGGCCCGUGCUAGCAUUGGCACGGCCGUGCCACCCUCCAGAGUUGCUUUUGCUGCUUUUGCUUAGAUUUUAAGCUACUCUAUUUUUAGCCCAAAUGUAAUAGCUUAGAUUUUAAGUCGAAUAAAUGCUAUAAAUAGAGUAGCCAUCCAUCACAAAUAUUCAUCUUUUCUUGGAAUGCAAUAUGUGACAAUUGUCUUUCUAAUAAAAGUUCAUUUUACUUUCUUGCUAUUUACUUUUAUGUUUUCUCUCUUCUUCUCCUUGUCUACAAUGAACGUCAGUGAGUAGACUUCUCUUGUCUUGGGAUUGUUGGAUAAGUCUAAUGACAUAAUCCUAAUCAAACCAAGCUUUAAACCUUAAUCUUAUGUAACCCUAAUUCCUUAUCUAAAUUCACCGCUUUAACAUGGAUCAACCAUUAUCAAACUGUGGAAACGAAAGUGGAGGGUUUGAUAAUUGUUUAUCCAUCAUCUCAAAUAUCAAUUCAUAAAACGAAAGUGGAGCUUUGAUAUUCGAAAAAGUGAAUUUAGACAAGGAUUGCAAAGUCAGCGAAAUAGGCUUUGAAAUCUUUGAGACAUAUAGUUUCGAUCUUCAAGGGAACUAAUAACAAUCAAGUCAGCGAAAUAAGCUUGGUUGUUAGAGGAACCAAAAUCUAAUAGUAAUCAAGUCAGCGAAAUAGGCUUGGUUGCUAGAGGAACAAAAGAGAAACUGUCUUGAGAAAUUAGUUCUAACAUAAAGUUAUAAGUUUAAUAGUUUGGUUUGAGAAGGACUUGUCGUUAGGAUGAACCAAUAACCCCAAGACUUUUAUCUUUUAUUUUAUUAUUUGCUUUUAAUUAAAAACCCAAACUUUUCUACCUUGUAAACCUUUAGUCCAAUCAUUAUCUAAAGUUGAUUGAAUUCAUAACUCCUUGUCGGAACGAUACUCUAUUUUUACUACUUCGAUAGGACCGUGCACUUGCGGUUUUAUCUCAUCAGUGUAUUCAAAGUCAGAGGAGGAGCAUGCUGAGCAUUUGAGGAUUGUGUUGCGUGUUUUGAAGGAGAAUCAGUUGUUUGCUAAGUUGUCUAAGUGUGAGUUUUGGUUUUGGGAAGUGAGUUUCCUUGGUUAUGUGAUUUCGAAAGGGUGUAUUGUCGUGGAUCCGUCGAAGGUUGAUGCAGUGUUGCAGUGGGAAUCACCUCUGUUUUUUAGGUUAGAAGCUUUCUUGGAUUGACAAGUUAGUAUCGGAGGUUUAUGGAGGGAUUCUCUAAGUUGGCGUUGCCAUUGACGCAGUUGACUCGGAAAGGACAAGCUUAUGUUUGGGAUGCUAGUGUGAGAAGAGUUUCCAAGAGUUGAAGAAGAGGUUGACUUCAGCUCUAGUAUUGAUUUUACCGAAUCCGAAAGAAUCGUUUGUUGUGUAUUGUGAUGCUUCUAAGAUGGGUCUUGGUGGUGUGUUAAUGCAGAAUCGUCAGGUUGUGACUUAUGCGUCGAGGCAGUUGAAAGUGCAUGAGAAGAACUAUCCAACUCAUGAUUUGGAAUUGGCGGCCAUUGUGUAUGUGUUGAAGAUUUGGAGCCAUUAUCUGUAUGGUUCUAAGUUUGAAAUGUUCAGUGACCACAAGAGAUUGAAGUACUUGUUUGACCAGAAAGAGUUGAAUAUGAGGAGACAAUAUGGUUGGAGUAUCUUAAGGAUUUUGACUUUCAGUUGAGUUACCAUCCCGGGAAGGCGAAUGUGGUGGCAGAUGCUUUGAGUAGGAUGCCGUUGCAUAUGUCUGCUUUGAUGGUUAAAGAGUUGGAGUUGAUUGAGCAGUUUCGAGAUUUGAGUUCGGUUAGUGAGUUGACACCGGAGGGUGUGAGGUUAGGAAUGUUGAAGCUGACGAGUAAUAUUUUGGAAGAGAUUAAGAAUGGUCAGAAGGAAGAUUUGGAACUUGUGGAUCGAGUGGUGUUGGUUAAUCAAGGUAAAGGUGUGGAUUUCAUAUUAGAUGAGAGGUGUUUUGAUGUUUCGUGAUCGAGUUUGUGUACCAGAUGUUCUUGAGCUUAAGAGACGGAUUUUGGAAGAAGGUCACAGGAGUAGUCUGAGUAUUCAUCCAAGAACAACUAAGAUGUAUCAGGAUUUGAAGAGGUUGUUUUGGUGGCCUGGAAUGAAGAAGGAGAUCGCGGAAUUUGUUUAUGCUUGUUUGGUUUGUCAGAAGUCUAAGAUUGAACAUCAGAAAUCGUCGGGUUUGAUGCAAUUGUUGUUUGUGCCAGAGUGGAAGUGGGAUAAUAUCUCAAUGGACUUUGUUGGAGCGUUGCCGAAGACUGUGAAAGGUUUUGAUUCGAUCUGGGUGAUUGUUGAUCGGUUGACGAAGUCGGCACAUUUUCUUCCUAUCAAGAUCAAUAUGUCUGUGGCGAAGUUGGCUGAGAUCUACAUUGAGCAAAUUUUUAGGUUACAUGGUAUUCCUUAUAGUAUUGUGUCGGAUCGGGAUCUGAGGUUCACUUCUAAGUUUUAGGAGAGUGUGCAAGCUGCUUUGGGAACUAAGUUAAGGUUGAGUUCUGCGUAUCAUCCCCAGACUGAUGGGCAGACGGAGAGGACUAUUCAGAGUUUGGAAGAUUUGUCGAGAGCUUGUGUUUUGGAGCAAGGUGUCAAUUGGGUCGAAUGUUUAUAGUUGAUUGAGUUUACUUACAACAACAAUUUUCCUUCUAGUAUCGGAAUGGCACCGUUUGAGGCUUUGUAUGGUAGAAGGUGUAGAACGCCGUUGUGUUGGUAUGAGUCAGGCGAAAGUGCUUUGUUAGGACCGGAGGUUGUACAAGAGACUACAUAAAAGGUUAAGAUGAUUCAAAAGAAGAUGAAAGCGUCUCAGAGUAGGCAGAAGAGUUAUCAUGAUAAGAGGAGGAAGGACAUUGAGUUUCAGGGUUGUGUUCAUGUGUUUUUGAGAGUGAAUCCUAUAACACGUGCUUUGAAGUGUCGGAAGUUGACUCCUCGUUUUGUUGGUCCGUUUGAGAUUAUUGAGAAGGUUGGGGUUGUAGCGUAUCAGAUUGUGUUACCACCGUCUUUGUCGAAUCUUCAUGAUGUGUUUCAUGUGACUCAGUUGCGGAAGUAUGUGUAUGAUACGUCUCAUGUGAUUCAAGUGGAUGAUUUGGAAGUAAAAGAUAAUUUGACCGUUGAGACUUGGCCAGUUAGGAUUGAAGAUCGCGAAGUGAAGCGUUUGCGUGGCAAAGAGAUUGUUUUGGUGAAUGUGAUUUUGGUUGGAUCAACUGGUGAGAGUGUUACUUGGGAAUCGGAGAGUAGGAUGAAGGUUUCGUAUCCGGAGUUGUUUCCUUCAGGUAAUUUUCGAGGGCGAAAAUUCUUUUUAGGGGGGAGAGUUGUAACAACCCGAUUUCCGCUAAAUUUAUUUUUAAUUGUUUUGAUAUGUGUUUAUAUACGUGAUUAAUUGCCUCUAUGUGUAUUUUGAUUGGAAUUAUUAGAAUUCAGUGUUAGAAGGGUAUUUUAGUAAGAGACAUUAUUAUUUUGGUAAGUUACUAGUGGGUUGUAGUAAUUUAUUUUAUAACCGGUAGAUUUCAUUGCUCUCAUUUGUUCUUCCACAACCUAUGUUUGAUAUACAAACACUUAAAUUUUUGUAUAUGGUCUUGCGCACUUGAACAAAUAUUAACAUAUCCAAUUGACAUUUUUUAAUACCUUGUUAUCAUCAAAACUCAAAGGAUAAUGUUAAGCACAUUUUGUUCCAACAAUGUCACCCUCGAUAAAUCCAAUGUCUGUGUAGUAGCCAACAACGAAGAAAUCCAUAAUUCACAAACCAAAGCAUGGAAAUCUUAGAGAACUCACUAGUGGUUUCUCACAAGAUGGAACUCGAGGAAACACACCAAACGUCAAAGUCACGAAGUCGGAUAAACUCCAUCAAGAUCUCAUUGUGACGGUGCAACACGAGUCUCAGAUGAUGGAAACCUAAGGCAGAUGUUUGCCUCGUGUAGAAAUCGCAAAAUUCCAACGACACGUUGAAGUCCCAAACUUAUGCAAAGGCACCAUCUCCAUAGCGCCAAGAUGCAGUCCAACCCCUCUCAUCCCGGGUUAAAAAAGAGGGAGAAACAAGGAGCAAAGGUGGAAUAUAAUAAUAGAGAGGGUCACAUCCAUCAUUCGCCAGCUAAGGUAAAAUAAAACACACAACUACAUCAAAAACUUCUCUCUCACGCGAAACAAAUAGGUGCAACACAUUUGUUAUGGCUUAUAAGCUUUUGAGGUUAGCUUUACUCUUGCAAUGUUUUUUCAGUUACAAAAGUUGUGAAAAGUGAACUAUGUAAGAAAAUGAAUAAUUGGUGGUCAAAUGAUUGUUUUGUAACUUUUAUAGAAAGAGAUAUUCUUUUAACAAUUAGCAAUAAUGAGAAAUGCUAACUUGUGUCUAAAAGAACACAAAUAAGAAAUCAAAAGUAAAAAUAAAAUCUUGGAAACAUUAUAUUCUUACUUAUAAAAACUUUAAAUUUUAUCUUUUUAACUUAUGCAUUUAUUGAUCAAUUCCUUUUUUAACUUUUUAACUUGUGCCUUGUGACACAAGUUAGCAUGACUCAUAUUAUUUUAAUUCAUUUUCAACAAAUAGAUAUGAGACAAUUUUCAUUGUAAUUGUAUUACAUCAAAUAUGUUAUUUCUUAUUUUUAAUAUAAUUAACAUUAUUAUUUCUUUAAAAUUUUAGUCACAUAUCUACCGAAUGUUUAGAUCCGUCCUUGAUAUGAUAUGUCUCUCACCUCACAAAAAUAAAAAAUUAUCAAACGUAUGUCAUAAUGUCCAUGCAAUGUGAACAGAGUGCAAGUGCCUCAUUUCUUCGACGUUGCAUAGUAUUAACAAAAAAGAAACAUCAUCCUGUAAAAAAAGAAACAUCAAGGUAGGUGCUGGACUUCAUACAUGAGAGCGGAUUUGACGCUGUAGAAGACAACUGAUGUUGAGACAAAAAAUAAACAUUCACUUCUAAAAAAGAAACACACACACAGUCAUACUCCACUCAUGCAUUCAGGAUAAUUUGACUCUCUAUCUUAAUUGGAUGGUUCAAAGAAAAGACGGAUUUGAUUUUUAUUUUAUAAUUAAAAUUCUAAUAUUAAAUCUGAACCUUCCGAUCAAGAUCGAACAGUUCUCAACGUCCAACUCUGUGAAUGCGGGUUGCUAUUGAUAUGUUGAGUAUUUUUUCAGUUGACUAGGUAUCCAGAUUGGAUUUGAUACAAAAGUGUCUCAUUUCUUUUUACGCUUCUUUUCAACAACAUCUUCCUUCAUUCAUUCUAUAUUCUCGUUUUGGUGAUCGAUCCUAGUCUCAGAUAGUUGAAAAGCUAAAAACAAGCUCAGGUAACACUCUCUCUCUGUCUCUCUUUCAAUUAUCUCAUAAUGUAGCCAGAGGAACCAGCUAUAGUUUUUGCAGGCUCGGCUCGGCCUUGAGGGUGUGCAAGGUGCUCAACCAGGCCGAGCCUCUAAAUGUUACGGGCCUCUAACGAAAAAUUAAAUUUAAUACCCACCCUCCAUUUAAAUAAAAAAUAUAUAUGUUAUAUCUUUAUAUCUUUUAAUACACGUUUGAUUUUUUUCUAGACUCUAGUUCUCCUUUUUGUAUAUAAAUCGGAUCCUAUCAAACCACCUAUAAUUUGUAAUCAGUCAAUUUUGAAAGUUAUUUCAUUGAAAGAAUCAUAACAAUCAUUUUUUUUUCGCAUAAACCAUUCGUUUUACCCUUUUUCCACAACAGAGGAGUGACAAAUCCAAACGACACCAUUAUAUAAAUUUCACCUCUUUCACUUAAUUUUUUUUAAUUCCUUCCAUGUUUAGAUCUUCUUCUGCUUCUGAUUUUUUUUAAUGAAAUUUAGCUACACAAAAAAAUUACGUUUUAUUUUACUAAGGAUCUAUUUUAAAAAGAGAGCCGAGCCUCCUAUUUCACGGGGACGGCCCUGAUUUUUGCUUAUCGAGAGGGUUGAGUCUUACAUUAAAUGUAAUAAAGCAAGAACAUAAUUUCCUUUUUUAGCAUCCUUACCUGGUGCCCUGGACACUGGUUAGCAUGACCCAAAAAAUUAUGAGCCAUUAGAAAAAUUAAUUACUUUUUUUUUUACGUUAAAGUUAAUUACUCUCUAAAGUUGCAGGCGCGGAGAUGUUUAAUUCUAAAAAAAGUAUUGGUUGUUAGAAAAGUUAAGUAGUCACUUGACAAAAAAAAAUAAGUUUAGUAGUUUCUUAUUUGGAUUAGUCACGGUACAUUUUUUUAAGGGUAUUCACAGUGCGUGUAUGUUUUGUUGAGAUUGUCUUGAAAUUUGUGGUCUGGAAGAACAGGGAAAUCGUGACACGAUUUUGGUAUCGUGACACGAUUUCGGGGUGCCGUGAGCUAGGUUGCAGGGUGCAAAAUCGUGUCACGAUUGUGGGAAAUCGUGACACGAUCGUGAAACUUGCUCGUUAAGUAUCCUUGAUAAGGACUGGUCGUUUCUUGGGUGGUACGCGGAUCGUGACACGAUUUGGAAAAUCGUGACACGAUUUCAACAGAGGAAGACUAGUAUAAAGUGUUCUUGUGCAGAUUUGAAGAAAGGGUUGGAAGAGAGAGAGACUUGGGAAAUCAAAGGGAGUAACUCUAGGGUUUAGGGUUCUUUGAUUAGAGUAUCUCUUGGGUUGAAAACAUGGGAAACACCUUGUAAAGAGAGAAUCAUUGAGUGUCUUGGUGAGAUUGGGAAAAGGGUAGAAAUUAGGGUUUGUUCAUUGUGAACUUGUCAAGCUAAUUUCUUGUAACCUUUUGUAUCCCUUUUGUAAGAACUCUUUGAUAGUGGAUUGGAGAGUACAAACUCUCCUCCAGAGUAGGUCAAGUUUGGACCGAACUGGGUGAACAAUCUCUUUGGUGCUUUUGUUUUCUUCUUCCCUCCCCUUUUAUCUUGUGAUUGUAUUUUUGAGUUUCACACUUGUUUCCUAGAUUAGAUCUAGGUGGUGUUUUGGUUGAUUAUUGCUUGCACACACACUUUGUUUGGUGGUUACCGCUUUCCGUUGCUCCACACAUCACUCUUUGCAUUGGUGUGGUUCGAUCUAGGUGAUCGGAAUUCACAACAAUUGGCGCCCACCGUGGGGCAACGGAGUGAUUUGGUUUAGUGAGUACCAUGGGUUCAAAGUGGGAUAUUGAGAAGUUCACCGGGCUUAACGAUUUCGGGUUAUGGAAGGUGAAGAUGCAAGCGGUGUUGAUUCAACAAAAGUGUGAGAAAGCUUUGAAGGGUGAAGGUGCGUUACCGGUCACCAUGUCACAAGAGGAGAAGACCGAGAUGGUGGACAAGGCGAGGAGUGCCAUUGUCUUGUGCCUCGGGGAUAAAGUUUUGAGGGAUGUCGCGAAGGAACCAACCGCGGCAUCGAUAUGGUCUAAGUUGGAAUCGUUGUAUAUGACCAAGUCGUUGGCUCAUAGACAUUUCCUUAAGCGACAACUCUACUCAUUCAAGAUGGUGGAGUCAAAGACCGUGAUAGAGCAAUUGGCGGAGUUCAACAAGAUCCUUGAUGAUUUGGAGAACAUUGAGGUGCAACUUGAGGACGAAGACAAGGCUAUACUCUUGUUGUGUGCUCUACCGAGAUCAUUUGAAUCCUUUAUGGAUACCAUGCUCUAUGGCAAAGAAGGCACUGUCACCUUGGAAGAAGUUCAAGUGGCUUUAAGAACCAAGGAGUUGACCAAGUCUAAGGACUUGAGAGCGGAUGAAAACAGUGAAGGCCUUAGUGUUUCAAAGGGGAAUGGUGGAGGUAGAGGCAACCGAGGAGGCUCAAAGAGAGGAAACAAGGAUAAUUAUAAGUGCUUUAAGUGUCACAAGUUGGGACACUUCAAGAGGGAUUGUCCGGAGGAAGAUGAGAGCUCCGCGCAAGUUGUGUCCGAGGAGUAUGGAGAUGUGGGUGCUUUGAUGGUGAGUUGUUGGGAGGGAGGUGAAGGUGAGGGUUCUCACCUUGGUAUUGAUUCCUUGUAGAGUGGUUCGUCUGGAGAGACGUUAAACACUCAACGUCAGCCUGGAGAGGCAGUGGUGAGAAUACUUAUGGUUAGUCUGGAGAGGCGGUGGUAACAAUACUCGUGAUCAACCUUUGAGGUGGAGUUGCAAAGUGGAAGCAUAGUGGAAGUACUCAUUUGGAAGUUGAGGUAGAGAAAGUUCAACUUGAGGUGGAGUUGAUGACACCGGGGAAUGGUAUGACUAUGGAGGCUUUGGGAGUUUAUGCUCUAGUUGUGAGCAUGUGAAUUCUUCAUGAGGACGGGAGGUAUUCCAGGGUUUGAAGAAUGUAUGGGGUGGCUUGUGUGAUUACCUAAAAGACCAAGGGUGAUCGGAUGCAAGGUGAUCUUCGAGGAGGCGGGAGACGUUUCGUGGUUGAAGAUGGCUUGGUGAAGACUUGUGGAGCAACUUGGUAGAGUUGGAUGCAAGGGAAAAGAAUGGUGAGAUUGGUGGUUGAUGGUUAAAGUGGCAUCAUCACCAAAUUAGAAGUCAAGGUGGAGAAAUGUUGAGAUUGUCUUCAAAUUUGUGGUCUGGAAGAACAGGGAAAUCGUGACACGAUUUCGGGGUGCCGUGAGCUAGGUUGCAGGGUGCAAAAUCGUGUCACGAUUGUGGGAAAUCGUGACACGAUCGUGAAACUUGCUCGUUAAGUAUCCUUGAUAAGGACUGGUCGUUUCUUGGGUGGUACGCGGAUCGUGACACGAUUUGAAAAAUCGUGACACGAUUUCAACAGAGGAAGACUAGUAUAAAGUGUUCUUGUGCAGAUUUGAAGAAAGGGUUGGAAGAGAGAGAGACUUGGGAAAUCAAAGGGAGUAACUCUAGGGUUUAGGGUUCUUUGAUUAGAGUAUCUCUUGGGUUGAAAACAUGGGAAACACCUUGUAAAGAGAGAAUCAUUGAGUGUCUUGGUGAGAUUGGGAAAAGGGUAGAAAUUAGGGUUCUUUGUGAGGGAAAACGUGAAAUCCCUUUCUAAUUCCGUCACUAAAUUUUGCGACCAUGAAAUUUGUGAGGAAUUUCAUUUUUUCCGUCACUAAUUUUGCUUUUUCUGAUAGUGAAUAUCAAAAGUUAAAUAUAUUUAAAAAACAUAUAAUUUUUUAGAGGAAUAUAAUAUACAUUUUAUCAUACAAAUACAUGAUAUCAUUUGUGUCUAUCAUAUGAUGCCAACAAAGCUGACCCUAAGCAUUUACUUAAUCCAGUUUAGAAUGAGCAUCGUUUUAACAAAAAAUUAUUUUAAAAUAAAUGACAUUCAUACUUUUCAAUGUUCUAUUAAUUUUUUUCAAUAAUACCCUUUAAUUAUUAUGCACAGUACUGUCAAAGUACCAGCAAAUGCACCAAUAGUUUGCAAAGCUAUUUUAGUAAAAGUGUUAUGUCUAUAAACAAUAUUAUUGUAUUUCUUAAUAUAUGUGUGUAAUAACCUGAAACGACGCUCAUUUUAAAAUGGAAGGAGUAUCUUGUACUAAUUACUCCAUCUGCUCCUAUAUAUAAGCUCUGAUUUGACAAAAAUUUAUCUCUAAAUAAAAAUCUCUUUUCAAAUUACUAGAUGCAUUUAUUUAUUUUUCCUUAACAUACCUCAAAUCUCUUUCUAAACCCUUAUUUCAGCCCCCUCUAUCUCUCUCUCUCUCUCUCAAAGUUUGCUCUGAUACAAGGUCUAUAUUUAUAGUAAAAGUCUUGCUUAAAAUCUGUAACAAAUCUGCUUAAAAUCUGUAUCAAAUCUGCACCCAAAAAUAUGUUUCUGUUAUUCGCCGCCAGCGCACCAUCGUGCCACGAUUUUUCCAGUGCAUUGCCUAAAAACUGAAACCUCUCCAAUCGUGCCACGAUGCCCUUCAAUCGUGCCACGAUUAAGCAGAAACCUGAUUUUAAGUUAAUUCUCACACUCACAUUUGUUUCUUUUGUUGUACUUUCCGUUGGCAUUAGACAGUUAACUUUGUAACUUUGUAACUUUGUUGAGAGGUUCUUUCUGCACACCUUGUGCGAGAUGAACCUCUCUUAGUGUUUAAUAUAAUCUCAUUUUGAUUUCUUAAAAAAAAAACAAAAAAAUUUCAUAGGAAUGUGAUCAUGUCCUUGCUUUUCAUAUUAAAUGUAUUUUGUUGGUAUACUUUGAUGUUAUGACUAAUUUAUUACUUGUGCAUGUUUUUUUUUUUUUUUUGAGGAAUACUUGUGCAUGUUUGUUCUACACUUAUUGUACCUUUAACAUGAUUCGAUUAUUCACAAUGCGCAAUUUGUUCUGGCGCUUACUGGCACGCAAUAUGUGACAUUCUGGUGAUGUUUAGAGUCUUUGUUUUUUUUUUACAAAAGGCGUAAUUUGUAACGUCUGACACAUGAUGAACAUAUUUAUUUGGAGAACUUCUCCGUUAUGAUAGGCGACUUUAGUUUGGGACAACUUUGUUAUUUUUAUCAAGCUAUUUUAAGAUCACUUUCCGAGAUUCUCUAUUAUUCAAGGUUAAAGUUUUCUGGAAUUUUAUGCCUCAUUUACUUUGCGAAAACAUUUUUUAUUCUCUUUUUCUAAAAUAGAUAUUCAUUUAAAUUUGCUUAUAAGAAGAUGUGAAACUCUUAGAACCGAAACAUUGUGAUGGAAAGAAGUUGAAAAGCACUGCAUAUGAUGCAUAUUUGGAAAUAUUAAAAACAAUUUUUUGACAUUUUCAUUUGUUCCACAAAAACGCACACUGCACACAAUUGUUUACUACAUGAGUAUUCAUAUGUUUGUUUGGAAGUAAAAUUAACACAAAUUUUAGAAUAUGAAAAUAUAAAAUGUUUUUACAAAGAAAUAUAGUCACAUGUGUCGAACAUAUUUAUCUU
rnacentral:lncRNA from 1 species